rnacentral:rRNA from 1 species
GGGCAGCGGGGAGUGAGGCUUGCCUUACUCUGCCGGCGACCGGCGCACGGGUGAGUAACACGUAUGCAACCUACCCUUUACAGCGGGAUAACCGGAAGAAAUUUCGCCUAAUACCGCAUAUACUCCUUGGGAGGCAUCUUCCGAGGGGGAAAGAAUUUCGGUGAAGGAUGGGCAUGCGUCGCAUUAGUUAGUUGGCGGUGUAACGGACCACCAAGACGACGAUGCGUAGGGGUUCUGAGAGGAAGGUCCCCCACACUGGUACUGAGACACGGACCAGACUCCUACGGGAGGCAGCAGUGAGGAAUAUUGGUCAAUGGCCGAGAGGCUGAACCAGCCAAGUCGCGUGAGGGAAGAAUGUCCUAUGGAUUGUAAACCUCUUUUGUCAGGGAGCAAAGUCACCCACGUGUGGGUGUUGGAGAGUACCUGAAGAAAAAGCAUCGGCUAAACUCCCUGCCAGCAGCCGCGGUAAUACGGAGGAUGCGAGCGUUAUCCGGAUUUAUUGGGUUUAAAGGGUGCGUAGGCGGGUUAUCAAGUCAGCGGUAAAAUCGUGGAGCUCAACUCCAUCCAGCCGUUGAAACUGAUGAUCUUGAGUGGGCGAGAAGUAUGCGGAAUGCGUGGUGUAGCGGUGAAAUGCAUAGAUCUCUUGGGGAACUCCGAUUGCGAAGGCAGCAUACCGGCGCCCGACUGACGCUGAAGCACGAA